UACGAAGGGGGCUAGCGUUGCUCGGAAUGACUGGGCGUAAAGGGUGCGUAGGCGGUUCGUUAAGUCUGUCGUGAAAUCCCCGGGCUCAACCUGGGAAUGGCGAUGGAUACUGGCGAGCUAGAGUGUGUCAGAGGAUGGUGGAAUUCCCGGUGUAGCGGUGAAAUGCGUGGAGAUCGGGAGGAACAUCAGUGGCGAAGGCGGCCAUCUGGGACAACACUGACGCUGAAGCACGAAAGCGUGGGGAGCAAACAGG
rnacentral:rRNA from 1 species